rnacentral:rRNA from 1 species
GACGAACGCUGGCGGCGUGCUUAACACAUGCAAGUCGAGCGGUAAGGCCCUUUCGGGGGUACACGAGCGGCGAACGGGUGAGUAACACGUGGGUGACCUGCCCUCAGCUCUGGGAUAAGCCUGGGAAACUGGGUCUAAUACUGGAUAUGACUCCACGGUGCAUGUCGUGGGGUGGAAAGCCUUGUGCGGCUGAGGAUGGGGCCCGCGGCCUAUCAGCUUGUUGGUGGGGUGAGGCCUACCAAGGCGACGACGGGUAGCCGGCCUGAGAGGGCGACCGGCCACACUGGGACUGAGACACGGCCCAGACUCCUACGGGAGGCAGCAGUGGGGAAUCUUGCGCAAUGGGCGAAAGCCUGACGCAGCGACGCCGCGUGAGGGAUGACGGCCUCGG